UUUGAUAUCUGCUUAUUUGAUUUUGAUUUUGAUUUUUUUCUUUUCACUCGUGGAUGUUCUCUUGUGAUAUCCAUUACGCUACUGCUUCCAUUCGCUCUUCCGGGAUACACUGUGGGAAGCUGUUGAUAAGGAAUGGAUGGAGUGGUUGCGCAGGGAACCUGCGAAAAAUCUGCACCUAAUUCCUUCUGGAGUUGUCUAGCUAAUUCUUCGGAAGAAUGCUGACACUGUACAUUGACAGAUUGCUUUGAAGAAAUUCAGUUUCAAUUUCUGGGAAAAUCAAUAUGAAUAUUGGCCAGAUUCGCUAAAGAAAUUUAUCGGUAGUUCAAGAUCUGUUGCAUUUCAACGUGAACAAGCAGACUUGCAGAUGCCUUGGAUAAAGAAGAACCCGUUCCUUUUCUGGAACGUUGUUUGCAGUAUUCAAACCUCCUUGAUCUAGCCAAGCUAAAAAUUUCAUCUUUUUGGGCACUUAUGUCCUCCAAAGAACAUUUAAGAACUUCUUCUAGUUCGAGGGAGAGCCACUACCAUGCUAUAGAAAGAAAGUGAGAUUUAGGUGUAAAGAGGCCAUCAGAAUUCCAGCUCUGGCCAUAUUUCUUUCAUUAACGAGCAGAACAUUUUCAAGAAGAUGAGAGACUCUAGUCAGAAAGUUAUUUUUCAUUGAGCUGUCUUGUAAACCUGAGAUUCCAGCCAUUAUCAGCCAAAUUCCUGCAUUCCUGAAACAAUAAAGACUCAGAUUCAUUAAGAUGAAAAAAUGUCAGAAAUUUCUGAUAUCGGUCUGAAAAAAUGAGAUUCCAUGUGUUGUCCGUUGAUGCAUUAAAAUCCUUGCCAGCAUAUCACUACAAGGCGAUCAUGUUGAGGAGAAAAGUGUGCCUGGCAACGACGAAAAAGAGAAAACCAAACGGCUGGAGUCGAAGUGUUUGUGCAGUUCAGACAAAGAGCCUUCAUUAUUUUUUGCUGGACAGGAUUUAACAACAAAAGUACUGUAACGGCCCAGAUCCACCGCUAGCAGAUGUUGUCCUCUUUGGGCUUUCCCUUUCGGGCUUCCCCUCAAGGCUUUA